AUCUGACGUAGUUCGGGUCCAUGGUUUUAGGGAGUGACUGAGCGUUCUAGCAUUCGACACCACCGAUCUAGUACAGCAGCAGAAAUCUACCAGUUGAAAAGAGUCGUCUUCUGUCACACCGAAUAUUCCAAAGCAUGAACGACGUGCGGCGAUUUAAGAGCUAAACAUAUUUCUGUUGGCAAUGGAACAAUUUAAAGAGAGAGGACAACAUCUCCGCCAACGUCUGGUUCAUCUUCGCCCGCUCAUUGCAAUGGGCAUGUCCACAAUAUUUCAAAGUAACCAAUCACACGCCAUCUGUUGGAGACACAGGUGAAGUGGUGAAUGAGGUGAGCUUUUUUAUUUUUUUAUUUUAUUAAUAUCAAAUCAAUACAUAAAGCACAUGAGGGAACACAAGCAUACAUAGAUUACAAACAAUAGACAAUCGAGC